rnacentral:rRNA from 1 species
UUAAGCGACUAAGCGUACACGGUGGAUGCCCUGGCAGUCAGAGGCGAUGAAGGACGUGCUAAUCUGCGAAAAGCGUCGGUAAGGUGAUAUGAACCGUUAUAACCGGCGAUGUCCGAAUGGGGAAACCCAGUGCAAUUCGUUGCACUAUCGUUAACUGAAUACAUAGGUUAACGAGGCGAACCGGGGGAACUGAAACAUCUAAGUACCCCGAGGAAAAGAAAUCAACCGAGAUUCCCCCAGUAGCGGCGAGCGAACGGGGAGCAGCCCAGAGUCUGAAUCAGCUUGUGUGUUAGUGGAACGGUCUGGAAAGUCCGACGGUACAGGGUGAUAGUCCCGUACACCAAAAUGCACAGGCUGUGAACUCGAAGAGUAGGGCGGGACACGUGGUAUCCUGUCUGAAUAUGGGGGGACCAUCCUCCAAGGCUAAAUACUCCUGACUGACCGAUAGUGAACCAGUACCGUGAGGGAAAGGCGAAAAGAACCCCGGCGAGGGGAGUGAAAAAGAACCUGAAACCGUGUACGUACAAGCAGUGGGAGCACCUUCGGGUGUGACUGCGUACCUUUUGUAUAAUGGGUCAGCGACUUAUAUUCUGUAGCAAGGUUAACCGUAUAGGGGAGCCGCAGGGAAACCGAGUCUUAACUGGGCGUUAAGUUGCAGGGUAUAGACCCGAAACCCGGUGAUCUAGCCAUGGGCAGGUUGAAGGUUGGGUAACACUAACUGGAGGACCGAACCGACUAAUGUUGAAAAAUUAGCGGAUGACUUGUGGCUGGGGGUGAAAGGCCAAUCAAACCGGGAGAUAGCUGGUUCUCCCCGAAAGCUAUUUAGGUAGCGCCUCGUGAACUCAUCUUCGGGGGUAGAGCACUGUUUCGGCUAGGGGGUCAUCCCGACUUACCAACCCGAUGCAAACUACGAAUACCGAAGAAUGUUAUCACGGGAGACACACGGCGGGUGCUAACGUCCGUCGUGAAGAGGGAAACAACCCAGACCGCCAGCUAAGGUCCCAAAGUCAUGGUUAAGUGGGAAACGAUGUGGGAAGGCACAGACAGCCAGGAUGUUGGCUUAGAAGCAGCCAUCAUUUAAAGAAAGCGUAAUAGCUCACUGGUCGAGUCGGCCUGCGCGGAAGAUGUAACGGGGCUAAACCAUGCACCGAAGCUGCGGCAGCGACACUAUGUGUUGUUGGGUAGGGGAGCGUUCUGUAAGCCUGCGAAGGUGUGCUGUGAGGCAUGCUGGAGGUAUCAGAAGUGCGAAUGCUGACAUAAGUAACGAUAAAGCGGGUGAAAAGCCCGCUCGCCGGAAGACCAAGGGUUCCUGUCCAACGUUAAUCGGGGCAGGGUGAGUCGACCCCUAAGGCGAGGCCGAAAGGCGUAGUCGAUGGGAAACAGGUUAAUAUUCCUGUACUUGGUGUUACUGCGAAGGGGGGACGGAGAAGGCUAUGUUAGCCGGGCGACGGUUGUCCCGGUUUAAGCAUGUAGGCUGGUUAUCCAGGCAAAUCCGGAUAAUCAAGGCUGAGGUGUGAUGACGAGGCACUACGGUGCUGAAGUAACAAAUGCCCUGCUUCCAGGAAAAGCCUCUAAGCAUCAGGUAACAUCAAAUCGUACCCCAAACCGACACAGGUGGUCAGGUAGAGAAUACCAAGGCGCUUGAGAGAACUCGGGUGAAGGAACUAGGCAAAAUGGUGCCGUAACUUCGGGAGAAGGCACGCUGGUGUGUAGGUGAAGCCCCUGCGGGUGGAGCUGAGACCAGUCGAAGAUACCAGCUGGCUGCAACUGUUUAUUAAAAACACAGCACUGUGCAAACACGAAAGUGGACGUAUACGGUGUGACGCCUGCCCGGUGCCGGAAGGUUAAUUGAUGGGGUUAUCCGUAAGGAGAAGCUCUUGAUCGAAGCCCCGGUAAACGGCGGCCGUAACUAUAACGGUCCUAAGGUAGCGAAAUUCCUUGUCGGGUAAGUUCCGACCUGCACGAAUGGCGUAAUGAUGGCCAGGCUGUCUCCACCCGAGACUCAGUGAAAUUGAACUCGCUGUGAAGAUGCAGUGUACCCGCGGCAAGACGGAAAGACCCCGUGAACCUUUACUAUAGCUUGACACUGAACAUUGAGCCUUGAUGUGUAGGAUAGGUGGGAGGCUUUGAAGCGUGGACGCCAGUCUGCGUGGAGCCAACCUUGAAAUACCACCCUUUAAUGUUUGAUGUUCUAACGUUGGCCCCUGACCGGGGUUGCGGACAGUGUCUGGUGGGUAGUUUGACUGGGGCGGUCUCCUCCCAAAGCGUAACGGAGGAGCACGAAGGUUAGCUAAUCCUGGUCGGACAUCAGGAGGUUAGUGCAAUGGCAUAAGCUAGCUUGACUGCGAGCGUGACGGCGCGAGCAGGUGCGAAAGCAGGUCAUAGUGAUCCGGUGGUUCUGAAUGGAAGGGCCAUCGCUCAACGGAUAAAAGGUACUCCGGGGAUAACAGGCUGAUACCGCCCAAGAGUUCAUAUCGACGGCGGUGUUUGGCACCUCGAUGUCGGCUCAUCACAUCCUGGGGCUGAAGUAGGUCCCAAGGGUAUGGCUGUUCGCCAUUUAAAGUGGUACGCGAGCUGGGUUUAGAACGUCGUGAGACAGUUCGGUCCCUAUCUGCCGUGGGCGCUGGAGAAUUGAGGGGGGCUGCUCCUAGUACGAGAGGACCGGAGUGGACGCAUCACUGGUGUUCGGGUUGUCAUGCCAAUGGCACUGCCCGGUAGCUAAAUGCGGAAGAGAUAAGUGCUGAAAGCAUCUAAGCACGAAACUUGCCCCGAGAUGAGUUCUCCCUGAGACUUUAAGUCUCCUGAAGGAACGUUGAAGACGACGACGUUGAUAGGCCGGGUGUGUAAGCGCAGCGAUGCGUUGAGCUAACCGGUACUAAUGAACCGUGAGGCUUAACCUU